CCUACGGGAGGCAGCAGUGAGGAAUAUUGGUCAAUGGCCGGAAGGCUGAACCAGCCAUGCCGCGUGAAGGUCAGUGCCCUAUGGGCUUUAAACUUCUUUUGUGCGGGAGCAAUAAUGGUCACGUGUGGCCAGACGAGAGUACCGUACGAAUAAGCAUCGGCUAACUCCGUGCCAGCAGCCGCGGUAAUACGGGGGAUUCAAGCGUUAUCCGGAUUUAUUUGGUUUAAAGGGUGCGUAGGCUGGGAGGUAAGUCAGAGGUGAAAUGCCCCGGCUCAACGGGGUGAAGUGCCAUUGAUACUGCCUUGCUGGAAUGCGGAUGCCGUGGGAGGAAUGUGUGGUGUAGCGGUGAAAUGCAUAGAUAUCACACAGAACACCGAUUGCGAAGGCAUCUCACGAAUCCGCGAUUGACGCUGAUGCACGAAAGCGUGGGUAUCAAACAGGAUUAGAUACCCGUGUAGUC
rnacentral:rRNA from 1 species